GGGGUAUAGUAGCAAUACUAGAGACCGGCGCACGGGUGCGUAACGCGUAUGCAAUCUACCUUAUACAGAGGGAUAGCCCAGAGAAAUUUGGAUUAAUACCUCAUAGCAUAGCAACUUCGCAUGAAGUCACUAUUAAAGUUCCAACGGUAUAAGAUGAGCAUGCGUCCUAUUAGCUAGAUGGUAAGGUAACGGCUUACCAUGGCUACGAUAGGUAGGGGUCCUGAGAGGGAGAUCCCCCACACUGGUACUGAGACACGGACCAGACUCCUACGGGAGGCAGCAGUGAGGAAUAUUGGACAAUGGGCGCAAGCCUGAUCCAGCCAUGCCGCGUGCAGGAAGACGCAUCUAUGGUGUGUAAACUGCUUUUGUACGGGAAGAAACACUCCCUCGUGAGGGAGCUUGACGGUACCGUAAGAAUAAGGAUCGGCUAACUCCGUGCCAGCAGCCGCGGUAAUACGGAGGAUCCAAGCGUUAUCCGGAAUCAUUGGGUUUAAAGGGUCCGUAGGCGGUUUGGUAAGUCAGUGGUGAAAGCCCAUCGCUUAACGAUGGAACGGCCAUUGAUACUGCCAGACUUGAAUUACUGGGAAGUAACUAGAAUAUGUAGUGUAGCGGUGAAAUGCUUAGAUAUUAC
rnacentral:rRNA from 1 species